rnacentral:rRNA from 1 species
GUGAGGAAUAUUGGUCAAUGGGCGGGAGCCUGAACCAGCCAAGUCGCGUGAAGGAAGAAGGAUCUAUGGUUCGUAAACUUCUUUUGCAGGGGAAUAAAGUGCAGGACGUGUCCUGUUUUGUAUGUACUCUGAGAAUAAGGAUCGGCUAACUCCGUGCCAGCAGCCGCGGUAAUACGGAGGAUCCGAGCGUUAUCCGGAUUUAUUGGGUUUAAAGGGUGAGUAGGUGGUUUGAUAAGUCAGCGGUGAAAGUUUGCAGCUUAACUGUAAAAAUGCCGUUGAAACUGUCGGACUUGAGUGUAAAUGAGGUAGGCGGAAUGCGUGGUGUAGCGGUGAAAUGCAUAGAUAUCACGCAGAACUCCGAUUGCGAAGGCAGCUUACUAAGCUACAACUGACACUGAAGCACGAAAGCGUGGGGAUCAAACAGGAUUAGAUACCCUAGUAGUCC